CGGGUGAGUAAUGUCUGGGAAACUGCCUGAUGGAGGGGGAUAACUACUGGAAACGGUAGCUAAUACCGCAUAAUGUCUGCGGACCAAAGCGGGGGACCUCCGGGCCUCGCGCCAUCAGAUGAACCCAUAUGGGAUUAGCUUGUAGGUAAGGUAACGGCUUACCUAGGCGACGAUCCCUAGCUGGUCUGAGAGGAUGAUCAGCCACACUGGGACUGAGACACGGCCCAG
rnacentral:rRNA from 1 species